UCGAAUAUCUAAUUAAUUUAUGUUCAAAAAGUGAAAUUUGAGUGAUAAGUGGUCCUUUUACAAUGAUGCAUUUUCAUGCAAAGAAAAAAAAUUCAAGUGUUCACGUGACAAGUGGAAGAGGAAUAAUAUUGUAAGCAUAUUUUGGUUGGAAACCAAAUGACUGCUAGAAAUCACAACAACAAAAAAAAGAAUGGAAAAGAUAUUUGCCUAACACAUAAAUUGAAAGAUUAAAAUCUGUAUGGAUUUCAAACAGGAAAAUGCUUAAAAAGGGAACGGAGGAGCAGCCCUUGCAGAGCCUAGUUUGAGCCAGGUUUUGAAAGGUAGCAAAGUGAAAUCGAUGAACAGACUCUUCCUUAAAGGGCCCAACGGGAAGUUCACCUUUCAAAUGGCAACACUGGCACCUCUAUUGACAGAGGCCAUUUACUUUUGCAGUCCAUAGCAUAGCUGACAGGUGCUUAAUUGGAGAAUGUUUUUCCUGCAGUGUUUCCCAAUCAGACUGGAAGGAAACCGAAAAAUAAAAGGAUUUAAAGAAUGGAAAUCGAAAAAGAAAAGGUACUUAAUUGCUGCUUUUCAACAUUCCUGGCUAUCACCUCUGAUCGUUCACUUAAAUUAUCAGAUAAGUAAUUUCCAUUAAU